GCGAGGGCCUGGCGGUUUCGCUUUAUGCCCGGCCGCGGCCUCCUCGGCCGCGGUGCCUCCGCGGACUGGACCUCAAGUAAGCCAGGCAGGGUAGGUGUUAUGAAGACAGAAUUGUUUCACAUCAACAUUCACAGACUAAAGCUUCAUUACUUAAUGAUACAAAGCUGUGAAGUGUUGCUGAAGUGGGAUGUGGAGUGAGGGAAAAACGUGACUGAAGAAAUUCUGUUUCUUGCCUCAGAGACAGCAAUGUUGAAGUACUUCUCAAGAAGACCCCUCUGUGGCCAGAUCUCCAUUAUGGCUGGUGCUGUGGAGAAUUUCCUGUUCCAAAGUACAUACAUCUUAAACAUAGGAUAGACAGGAUGGGAAAAGAAACAGGCAUAGGGGAGGAAGUGUCUUGAUGGAGGUCACCUAACAGACUCUAACACAACACAUCACAAUUGCACAUGCACAGCAGCUGCAAGCAGAUUUCCUCAGCCACAGAAUAGAAACUUUCAGCACUGUAGAGAAUCACUUCAAUACUAGUGUUGACAGGAUUUCACACUUUUCAGUACCUUCCUACAACAGGUGAGGACAGCCUGGUAAAACCAACAAUAAAAGAUAACCACUUGUGUCAGAAUGCUGCCAACAUUGCUCUAUGAAGAAAGCUGCAUUAAAAAAAACCAACAACAACAACAAAAAAAACCCACUAAGUUAAUUGUGAUCAUCAGCAAUCUGUUUAGGUUGUGGCUGGACCGUUGAAGUUGAAUUAGUGUAACCAAUCCUGAGAAGAGUUUGCAGAUUUCUUCAACAUAGACCAGGCUAAUCAUGCUCUUUGGUGUGCUGUUGUAAAAUGAUUUUUCUUACCCCUGCAAGCUCUAAAAGUAUCUUGACACUAGCUAAGUGGGAUUUCAGAGGAUAGUCAGCAUCACCAAUGGAUUAUUUCAUACUACUCAGAAGAUUAAAGGGAAGUUCUGUAUCCAUCACAUGUUUUCUUUUAAUUUUCUCUUCUGAUCUUCCCUGCAAGUGGGUCUAUAAUACUUUUAAAAUAUAUUGCUUAGGAACAAAGUGUCUUUUGGAAAAGAGAUAUGCUCAAGAGCAUCAGGAUAAUUCAGACCCUAAUCAAGGCAGACUGUGAGGGCUUGUCUCUAACCCAUGCUGUCAUACCUGUGAGCUGAUCUAGGCUUUCUUUUUAGUCUUACUGUGUGCAUUCAGAUUACUU